rnacentral:ncRNA from 1 species
AGGAUAGAGGCGCGGGAUUCAUCAGUAUCUCCAAAUCGAAGGAUCCGCAGAUCUGAUUUUGGAGAGAAAGGGAAUACCGCCGAAGGACUUAAGACCACCUGCGGAAAGUCAGAGUCCUGGGCAGUCGGAGAAUAUCCGGCUGACUGUCGCAUUUGCGGAGAGCUAUGA